CAGGCACCUAUGGCAGUGGCCGAGCGACGCACCAAUCCUAGUGGUAGCGGGGGCGGCGAUUCCAUGUCCGGCGGCCGCCCUCUAUGGCUUUACCUCGGUCCCUCCCCUCCCCUCCGGACGGCCCUCUCCCUGACUCCCUCCCCUCCGCGAGUCUGCGACUCUACUCCGGUCCGGCAUCCGCCACAGCCCCCCGGCUCCCCCGCUCGGCUCGCCCUGUAGGGCUUCAGGCUCCCUCCCCCUCCACGGCCCGGCACCACCUCCGGCAGUCCAGCCUCCGUGGCUCCGUCGAAGAUGAGGAUGUCAUCAAUCUCUUCCAAAAAAGGAUCAUAAAGUUAUAUUGUAAUUUUCUUUGUCGCUUGUAAUCUUUCUUAAUUAUUAGAGAUAUUGCCACAAUGAUAUUUUGCUACUAUUAUCGAUGUAUGGUCAUUGAGUUAUUGAUAUUGCAAUUUUACAGUA